rnacentral:RNase_P_RNA from 1 species
GCAGUUUGUCGGUCUGUCGCUCGUCUUUCGGGAUGAGAGGAAAGUCCGGGCAACACAGAGCACCAUACUUCCUAACGGGAAGCUGUUCGCAAGGGCAGAGUAACGUAACAGAAAAUAACCGCCCCGCCUAAACGGGGUAAGGGUGAAAAGGUGAGGUAAAAGCUCACCGGGUUCCGUGGCGAUGCGGAAUGCCGUACGUCUUAUGGGUUGUAAGGUCAUGUAAACCGGCGCUUAGGGUUGCUCGCCCGAUGUCGGAGGGUAGACCGCUAAAGCUUUCCGGCGACGGCAAGCGUAGAUAAAUGGCAGACGCUUUCUUCAGGGAAAGAACAGAACCCGGCUUACAGACAAACUGCUUUU